rnacentral:ncRNA from 2 species
GACGAACCGAGCGAACGUUGUUCGGAAUCACUGGGCUUAAAGGGCGCGUAGGCGGGCAUUCAAGUCCGUGGUGAAAUCCUCCAGCUCAACUGGAGAACUGCCUCGGAUACUGGGUGCCUCGAGGGUGGUAGGGGUAUGCGGAACUAUCGGUGGAGCGGUGAAAUGCGUUGAUAUCGAUAGGAACUCCGGUGGCGAAGGCGGCAUACUGGACCACAUCUGACGCUGAGGCGCGAAAGCCAGGGGAGCGAACGGG